rnacentral:rRNA from 1 species
UACAGAGGGUGCGAGCGUUGUCCGGAAUCACUGGGCGUAAAGGGCGCGUAGGCGGCUUGAUAAGCGUGCGGUGAAAGCCCGGGGCUCAACCCCGGGUCGGCCGUGCGAACUGUCGAGCUGGAGCAGCUGUAGAGGCAGGUGGAAUUCCGGGUGUAGGCGGAUGGAAUGCGUAGAGAUCCGGAAGAACACCGGUGGCGAAGGCGGCCGUGCUGGGCAGUGGCUGACGCUGAGGCGCGGCACGUGGGGAGCAAACAGG